GAUGAACGCUGGCGGCGUGCCUAACACAUGCAAGUCGAGCGAUUCUCUUCGGAGAAGAGCGGCGGACGGGUGAGUAACGCGUGGGUAACCUGCCCUGUACACACGGAUAACAUACCGAAAGGUAUGCUAAUACGGGAUAACAUAAGAAAUUCGCAUGGUUUUCUUAUCAAAGCUCCGGCGGUACAGGAUGGACCCGCGUCUGAUUAGCUAGUUGGUGAGGUAACGGCUCACCAAGGCGACGAUCAGUAGCCGACCUGAGAGGGUGAUCGGCCACACUGGAACUGAGAACCGGUACAAAUUCCUACGGGAGGCAGCAGUCGGGAAUAUUGCACAAUGGGCGAAAGCAUGAUGCAGCAACGCCGCGUGAGCGAUGAAGGCCUUCGGGUCGUAAAGCUCUGUCCUCAAGGAAGAUAAUGACGGUACUUGAGGAGGAAGCCCCGGCUAACUACGUGCCAGCCGCCGCGGUAAGAC
rnacentral:rRNA from 1 species